rnacentral:rRNA from 1 species
GAUGAACGCUGGCGGCGUGCCUAAUACAUGCAAGUCGAGCGAACAGACGAGGAGCUUGCUCCUCGGACGUUAGCGGCGGACGGGUGAGUAACACGUGGAUAACCUACCUAUAAGACUGGGAUAACUUCGGGAAACCGGAGCUAAUACCGGAUAAUAUAUUGAACCGCAUGGUUCAAUAGUGAAAGACGGUUUUGCUGUCACUUAUAGAUGGAUCCGCGCGGCAUUAGCUAGUUGGUAAGGUAACGGCUUACCAAGGCAACGAUGCGUAGCCGACCUGAGAGGGUGAUCGGCCACCCUGGAACUGAGACACGCUCCAGACUCCUACGGGAGGCAGCAGUAGGGAAUCUUCCGCAAUGGUCGAAAGCCUGACGGAGCAACGCCGAGUGAGUGAUGAAGGUCUUCGGAUCGUAAAACUCUGUUAUUAGGGAAGAACCAAUGUGUAAGUAACUAUGCACGUCUUGACGGUACCUAAUCAGAAAGCCACGGCUAACUACGUG